UACAGAUCGUGUGAAUCAUCGAAUCUUUGAACGCACUUUGCACCUCGUGGCUCCUGUCACAAGGUAUAUUUGUUUGAGUAUCCUACACCAUCUCACCGCCUUUAGAGGCAGAGUGAAACUUGAGGGCAUCGACCGCCCGCCGCAACGGCAGGAACUGGUCGUUCCUUAAAAUGCGAGGCUCAUCGUGGAAAGGGCUCCGCGGGAAUUUGUAGCAGACCAUUGGGAUAAUAUCCCUGACAAUCGUCCGUCAAACUCCUUUGAGCGUUGCCCGGCCCAGAGCCCAUCUCAUUAUUUGAAGACAGUGUUCUGAUGCUGUUCUUCAAGUAAUAUCACUUACUUUAAAGAUCUCAAAUCAAAUAAGGAUACCCGCUGAACUUAAGCAUAUCAAUAAGCGGAGG
rnacentral:rRNA from 1 species